rnacentral:lncRNA from 1 species
AUCCUCGCCCGGCGCCUCACUCACCAAGGGCCGCGCCGGGGUUCUGCACUGUCACUGCGCUGCGGUUCCCCGCCUUAGGGAUUCUCACACGGUUCCACGGCUCCAGGCCCGGCGGCACCGCAGCCAUCAUGCGAGGCGGGGGGACUUACGAAAGGCGGAGCUACGCGAGAGCACGUCCAGCGACCGGAGUCUGGAACAGUUCCUCGUUCUUUCUCUGGCUCUGGAUCUGCGUCCCUGACAGUCUUAAAGAGGACAGACCUUUCAUUCAUGAGGAUGACCCUCAACUUGGCCCAGUCCAUGUUUCCUCAGACUCAAGCCUUGCAUUCCUGGCAGAAAGACUGAAGAAAUGAUGCUGUGCUCUUCUCAGUGCUUCGCGUCAGGAGGCUCUACUCUCUCAACCGGCCCCACUAUUGGGCAUCUUGAGACAAUGUUCUGCCUACACAAAAUUCUAAACUGAGAGGAGUGGCUCAGAAGCUCUACUAACAUGGAAUCACAUGUGGGUUGCAGGAGGCUGGAGACUAUCCCAGCAGCACAUGGCACAAAGCAAGAACCAGCCCCGGACAGGACGCCAUUCCAUCACAGGUGCACUCACACCCACCAGCACUCACUCAGACUGGGCCCAUUUAGACACACCGAUUCAUCCAACAUGCAUAUCUCUGGGGUGUGGAAGGAAACUGGAUUACCUGGUGAAAACCCACACAGACAUGGGGAGAACAUGCCAGCUCUACACAAACAGUGGCCUGGUGGGGAAUCAAUUUUUUUUUUCUUAUCAGUGUUAUAAAUGAAACAGUGUUGAAGUAAAGGACCUGCUCUACAUUCCAGAAGAGUGAAAAAGCAAACGUAAAAAAGUAUACUUACAGGGGAAGAGAAGCAUAAAAGUCAAGGAAGAAAAGACAAAUGGAUCUAACUGCAUACAGAUUCAAACUUUUGUAUUUCAAAAGUCCUGUAGACAUAAAUUCAUCCUCUAAGGUACCAUAGGAGGUUUCUGAAUAGUAAGAGCUAACAUGUAUUGAAUGCUCACCAGGCACUCUGCUAUGUACUUAAUUUGCUUAUUUUAUUUAAUUCUCACAAGAAUAUUAUGAUUCUACCACAGUUUACUUUUCUCUCCUAUCAUUAGAUGAUAAUUAUUUAUUCUAAUAGAGGGACACUAUAACUAUGAACCUCUAGCUCAGAGGUGCCCGGGAUUUUGCAGCAGUUAGUCGUGGAGCUGAGCUGAAAUGGGUGGUCUCUGUCAAGCCCUCGUCGAUUUACCCAGGAUACUUACUCCUCAUUCUCCCUUUGCAGUGCUUCCUCAGCCAUAAGACUGGCCUGCUUGGCAGUCAUCUGCCCAUCCAUUACUGUGGAAUAGCGUAUCUCACUCCUAUCUCACUCAUCCCGAGGCCAAAGGCUACAGUUUCAUGAACACUGGUUCCCUCUGACUUUUCCUCUAUUGUCUAAGCCAACCCAGGAAAAGGCACCAUAGAAACAGAAAAUAUUAUUAAAGCUCAUAUCACAAAUCCAGGGAUCAUUUCCACUGAGCUGAGACAGAAAACUGAUAUGUUUAUCAGAAAAGAUAACACUUGUCUACAAAGAGUGCUUUCCAGGCCAUAGGAUAAACAGAGGGAGCCGCCAGCUUGACCUCUAGGCAGGGCGUCUGCACGAGGCUGGAGAGUCCGUGCUCUGUCCACCUCCAACAAAAACAGGCUGCUGACUUCAUCCAGCUUCCAGUCCUUUCCCAGACAGGUCCCAGCUCUCGGCCACAGGCUUCCUCCUCUACACAUUUUUAUUAUAAGAAGAUAUUCAAGAAUAAUUAACAAAGUAGAAAUAAAUGAUUUCUCAGAAAAG